rnacentral:rRNA from 1 species
GGCCUGANNUNGGCAUUUUAGUCACUUUNUACAAAAAGCAGGCUCCGAAUUCGCCCUUUAGAAGUUUGACUCCGUGGCUCAGGAAAGUCUUUAACAAGGCUAACCGCUAAAGGGCGGAUAUUCGACCCAGGCUUUAUUGUAAUAUAGUUGGCAUUUAUAAAGAAAGCCGCUGGAUCAUCAAAUUUGCAAGAUACAACAGACAUGUACUCAUACUCAAAAGAUAUGUAUCAGUCAUUGACUUAAACCGAAUUUUUACCACAUGUUAUACGAAGGGUUUCUCUCACUAUUAACAACGAAUUCUCUUUUUAUCAAUUGUCAAUACAAUCCACUUCUACCAUAUUUAAUGAAUAUCUGAUCUAAGAAAUCAUCUCUAUACCACAAACUUUUUCCAAUAUAAUCCCACUGCCCCAAAAAUUAUAAACCAAACAAUUCCUGUUAAUACCACUCUUAACUAGUCCCAUUAAAAUAUCUCUUCAAAACUUCUCAAAGUAGCCUUGCUCUAACCUCCCUUUACACUUUAAAAUCCUUCAAAAUCGCCUCUACUUAUUGCUCAUACCUAUUUGAAUGUCAUAUACAAACCCCCCCAUUUACAUCAAAAAUUCCAAUUAGUGCUAAAACCAACAUCUACAUUUUAUCUCCUAAUGAUUGAGGAUCUAAUAUCUCAUAGACUCUCUCAACUUAUCAACUUAUAAACAAUUUCACACUACUUCUUUAGUAUAUCUCAAAAGACUAUCAACUAAAAAUUUCAAUUACCAGUCUUUCAUGAACCCAUAUAUGAUAGUACAAAUUAUCAACCACAACAACCCUUAAAAUACAUACAAAUUAAUACAUCAUCUCUGAUACA